GCUUGACCUCAAAUCAGGUAGGAUUANCCCUGAACUAA
rnacentral:rRNA from 1 species